rnacentral:rRNA from 1 species
CGCGAAACCUUUACACUGCACGACAGCGCGAUAAGGGGACUCCAUCUGCGAGGGCAUAUCGUCCUCGCUUUUUCCUACCGUAAGGUGGUAGGCGAAUAAGGGCUGGGCAAGACCGGUGCCAGCCGCCGCGGUAAUACCGGCAGCCCGAGUGAUGACCGCUCUUAUUGGGCCUGAAGCGUCCGUAGCUGGCCUCGCAAGUCCAUCGGGAAAUCCGCGCGCUCAACGCGCGGGCGUCCGGUGGAAACUGCGUGGCUUGGGACCGGAAGACCCGAGGGGUACGUCUGGGGUAGGAGUGAAAUCCCGUAAUCCUGGACGGACCACCGGUGGCGAAAGCGCCUCGGGAGGACGGAUCCGACGGUGAGGGACGAAAGCCAGGGUCACGAACCGGAUUAGAUACCCGGGUAGUCCUGGCCGUAAACGAUGUCUGCUAGGUGUGUCACAGGCUACGAGCCUGUGAUGUGCCGUAGGGAAGCCGUGAAGCAGACCGCCUGGGAAGUACGUCCGCAAGGAUGAAACUUAAAGGAAUUGGCGGGGGAGCACUACAACC